rnacentral:piRNA from 1 species
CUACGCUUGGAUAUUUACACA